GCUAUUGAAGCUCCAUCUACAAAUGGAUAAGACUUUGGUCUGAUUGUAUUGUAUAGGAGUUUUUGAACUAAAAAAGGAGCAAUAGCUUCCCUCUUGUUUUUAUAAAGAGGGCGUUAUUGCUCCUUUUUUUAUGUUAAUGGAAAAAAAUUAUAUAGUAAUAGUAAUACUAUAUAAUUACUACUUAUACUUACUAUAUAAUAUAACUAGACUAGAUAAUAGUAGAGGGGCGGAUGUAGCCAAGU
rnacentral:misc_RNA from 1 species